UAGCCCUACCCUCAACACAUUGCAGCUCUUCACUGCCCAGGGGUCCUGACCCCAUGCUAUUCUCUGAAUAAAAGAGCAUACUACCAGACCAUGAGAGUCCAAGGAAUCUUUCUUUUGACUCCUCGGCUCGCCAAGCCCACAUCAGGCAUGGCAUUUUUGCCAAGCAGUGCCACCUUCGCACCCGGGAUCCCAACCGGAGAACCCCUGGCCAUCGAGAAGUGGAACGUGCGACCUUAACCACUGCACCACCAGUGUGGCUUGAUGAGCAGUGUUUGGUCUGCACCCAGAAUCUGAACCUGCGAACCCGGGGCUGCUGAAGUGGAGUGUGGGAACUUAAUGAAUACACCAUCAGGCCAGCCCUCAGCAAGAGAUCUUUAUGCUCUGUUUGGGCUCCAGUCCUGUGCCCUGAUCUGGAAAGUGUUUCCAGACACAAACCCACUCACUUUGUUUGCCUUCUCUCAGGUAUAUCAGUCCUGCCCUGCUUGUCAUCCAAUGUCUGUAAACAGUUGUUUCGUAUGCUUUGUCCAGUUGUAUAGGCUUUUAUGUUGGAAGGGCUAUUCCUUUACUAAUUAUUCCACCAGGCCUGGAUGCAGAAUCUGUUAUUUUUCAUUCAGUUUUUAAAUCAGUUCAUUAGUUCAUUAUCUCCCUGAACAGAUACUCAUAAACGGUAGAUGCUAACAGUAGUACAAGCUGAUUAAUAAGAUACUGUUCCUGCCUUGAAGGAGCUUUCAGUUUACUGGAGUAGAGACAGAUAAAAUAAUUUCAAUGCAAUAUGGUAAGUAUAGAAAGGGAAGAUUUAAAAGUAAAUGCUAUGGGAUAAAAGCAAAAGUGUUUGUUAUAUAUUUUACCA
rnacentral:lncRNA from 1 species